AGAGUUUGAUCAUGGCUCAGAACGAACGCUGGCGGCGUGGAUAAGACAUGCAAGUCGAACGCUGAUUAGAGGGUAGCAAUAUUCUCUAGUCGGAGUGGCGCAAGGGUGCGUAACACGUGGGUAAUCUGCCGUGAAGCCUGGGAUAACUCGCUGAAAGGCGAGCUAAUACCGGAUGUGACUGUUGGGAAGCAUUUCUCGACAUUUGAAGCUGGGGACCGCAAGGCCUGGCACUUCACGAUGAGCCCGCGGCCUAUCAGCUAGUUGGUGAGGUAACGGCCCACCAAGGCUAAGACGGGUAGCUGGUCUGAGAGGACGACCAGCCACACUGGAACUGAGACACGGUCCAGACACCUACGGGUGGCAGCAGUCGAGAAUUUUUCACAAUGGGCGCAAGCCUGAUGGAGCGACGCCGCGUGGGGGAUGAAGGGUUUCGAUCCGUAAACCCCUGUCAUUUGCGAACAAACUUUAACUGAUAAUACCGGUUAAAUUGAUUGUAGCGAAAGAGGAAGGGACGGCUAACUCUGUGCCAGCAGCCGCGGUAAUACAGAGGUCCCAAGCGUUGUUCGGAUUCACUGGGCGUAAAGGGUGCGUAGGUGGCCAGGUAAGUUUGGUGUGAAAGCUCGGAGCUUAACUCCGAAAUGGCAUUGAAUACUAUCUGGCUGGAGGGUCGGAGGGGAGACUGGAAUUCUCGGUGUAGCAGUGAAAUGCGUAGAUAUCGAGAGGAACACCAGUGGCGAAGGCGAGUCUCUGGACGACACCUGACACUGAGGCACGAAAGCUAGGGGAGCAAACAGGAUUAGAUACCCUAGUAGUCC
rnacentral:rRNA from 1 species